UGGGGAAUAUUGGACGAUGGGCGCAAGCCUGAUCCAGCCAUGCCGCGUGUGUGAAGAAGGCCUUUUGGUUGUAAAGCACUUUAAGCGAGGAGGAGGCUACUUGGAUUAAUACUCUAAGAUAGUGGACGUUACUCGCAGAAUAAGCACCGGCUAACUCUGUGCCAGCAGCCGCGGUAAUACAGAGGGUGCGAGCGUUAAUCGGGUUUACUGGGCGUAAAGCGUGCGUAGGCGGCUUCUUAAGUCGGAUGUGAAAUCCCUGAGCUUAACUUAGGAAUUGCAUUCGAUACUGGGAAGCUAGAGUAUGGGAGAGGAUGGUAGAAUUCCAGGUGUAGCGGUGAAAUGCGUAGAGAUCUGGAGGAAUACCGAUGGCGAAGGCAGCCAUCUGGCCUAAUACUGACGCUGAGGUACGAAAGCAUGGGGAUCAAACAGGAUUAGAUACCCUGGUAGUCCAUGCCGUAACGAUGUCUACUAGCCGUUCGGGG
rnacentral:rRNA from 1 species